AGACAUAUGAUCACUCAAAGACAAUUCAAUAUUGGAAAUGAGGCGUGAUUACUUUACAUCCGGCAGAAAUUUAUAACACUAAAUUGAUAGUAACAUUUAACUAUAGGAAGAGAAUGUAAAUUUCGCUCAGAGUUCACACUAUGAGUAAUGAAUAAUCAACUGAGGAAUAAUUGCAGUCAUAAAACAUCAUUAUUCAUACACUUUACCUCUCAGGGCAUCUUUACACAAUACUGAAUAUGGAAAGAUUUGAGCAGAAAUGGAGAAAUGGUCAUUUCCCCUGGGCAUCCGAAAGGAUGUAAUAGUCCACACCGAAAAGACACAAGAUCAUAAAUGCUUGGUUAACAAAGUACAAGAGAUAUAAGGUACACAAAGAGCAUAUAUUUCCCUUAUUUCAGGAUGUUGACCUCAAAAGAAUAGAGCUGCAGUUUUUGGAGAGUUUAAACAUGAAGGCAUUUUCCACGUGUAAAAACACAGAUUGGGACAUGCUAAAGCCUUCCGUGGAAAGCAAUCUCAGUAGCAAUGCUGCUCGGCUGAGCCCACUCUUUCCAAGCCUCCAAUGUGCAUGUAAAGAUGACGGGGAAGUUUGUGAUUUAUUCCUCCCAUACAUAUCUAGGGUUUAUACAUAUGACCACAUUGGUGUGUACUGUACACCUGCCACACACAACCUGUG
rnacentral:lncRNA from 12 species